GCCCGCCCCCACCGGGCCGGGCAGGAGGCGCUUCCGCGGAGCGGCGGGAACCGGACCCGAGCGCGGCGCUCUCCGCUGAAGAAUGAGACCUUCACCUAAACUGAUGGAAGCUGGAGUCAUGCCUAUCAUGCCGUCAAGAAACACGGGAGCAUUAACCAUAUCCGAUAGGACACCAAGGCUGUAGACUACUUCACACCUCACUGGUUUCUAACAGAUUUUUCAAUGGAAGCGCAAGCCACUGCUUUGGAGAUGUAGGACUCUGAACAAAAGGCUUACGUUUCUUCAUUCUCCUCUCCAUUUUCCUUGGAGGCAUUGGCAGAUCACUGAAGGUGCACCGGCUAAGAGCAGCGCUCUGUUAGAGUGGCCUGAGGCAUAGCCCAGGGUACCCUCUGCACACUGGGAUCCUGGUGCACGCCUGAGCUCACUUCCAAAGCCAGGAACCUGUGAGUGCCCCUCUAUUCGAUGCCAGCUGGGGUGACAGCCUCUGCACUGUGGUGGAGAGCCCACUUGGAGAACCAGGAAAGCUUUACUCACAUAGUCCCUGGCUCCCCAGGGCACCCCAUAUACCUUUGUGUGAUAUGUACCUUUGCUAAACAGCUUUCCUGGGCAGUCUCGUGAAAAAAAAACAGGGUUGCAAAACAGUGGAAUGAGUACAGAGAGAAAGCAUGAGAGUAUGUGCAUGCAUGUGUGUGCGUGUGAGGGUCAGGGGUUGUGCAAUCUUCCCCAUGUUCAGCUGUGACCUUGUCCUGGCUUAUUUAGAUGUCAUUUCUGGGCUCAUGCCCCCCAUCACAGUAAAAACGGGUGUGAUUUCCUAGGUGUUGGCCUUAAACAGGCUGUGCAAAAGAAAUCUUGAGGUUGAGGCACUUCUCAUCCCUGCUCUUUCUCCCUCUCCACCCUUGUUCAUGGGAAAUAACUUACAGUGUAAAAUCUUGAUCUGACACUUCUCUGUGGUCUCUUCCUGGCCCAUUUCAUGACCUGUACCUGAUGCUGCAUAGAAGCCUCCAAGAGCAGAGACUGCGUUUGCUGUCACAUUGCUGCCACAAUGCUGAUGUGUUAUUAACUGUGUUAUACUUCUGUAACACGAGUUUAAUAAACUGAAAUGCAAAAA